GCCUGGGUAGCUCUGUAAUUAAGCAUCUGACUUCAGCUCAGGUCAUGAUUUCAUGGUUCGUGGGUUCAAGCCCCACAUUGGGCU
rnacentral:tRNA from 1 species